UACGGAGGGUGCGAGCGUUAUCCGGAAUUACUGGGCGUAAAGGGCGCGUAGGCGGCCGCCUAAGUCAGGCGUGAAAUCCCUCGGCUCAACCGGGGAACUGCGUCUGAUACUGGGUGGCUUGAAUCCGGGAGAGGGAUGCGGAAUUCCAGGUGUAGCGGUGAAAUGCGUAGAUAUCUGGAGGAACACCGGUGGCGAAGGCGGCAUCCUGGACCGGCAUUGACGCUGAGGCGCGAAAGCGUGGGGAGCAAACAGG
rnacentral:rRNA from 1 species